GAUGAACGCUGGCGGCGUGCCUAAUACAUGCAAGUCGAGCGAAUGGAUUAAGAGCUUGCUCUUAUGAAGUUAGCGGCGGACGGGUGAGUAACACGUGGGUAACCUGCCAAUAAGACUAGGAUAACUCCGGGAAACCGGGGCUAAUACCGGAUAACAUUUUGAACCGCAUGGUUCGAAGUUGAAAGGCGGCUUCGGCUGUCAUCUAUGGAUGGACCCGCGUCGCAUUAGCUAGUUGGUGAGGUAACGGCUCACCAAGGCAACGAUGCGUAGCCGCCCUGAGAGGGUGAUCGGCCACACUGGGACUGAGACACGGCCCAGACUCCUACGGGAGGCAGCAGUAGGGAAUCUUCCGCAAUGGACGAAAGUCUGACGGAGCAACGCCGCGUGAGUGAUGAAGGCUUUCGGGUCGUAAAACUCUGUUGUUAGGGAAGAACAAGUGCUAGUUGAAUAAGCUGGCACCUUGACGGUACCUAACCAGAAAGCCACGGCUAACUACGUGCCAGCAGCCGCGGUAA
rnacentral:rRNA from 1 species